rnacentral:lncRNA from 1 species
CUCGUGUCGGACGUGGAGCUCGAGCGCUUCCUGGCGGCGCCGCGGGACCCCGCGCAGGUGCUCGUGUUCGGCAUCGUGUCGAGCCGCAGCCCCCGCGACAGCGCCCAGCUGCAGUGGCUGCUCGACUCGCUGCACGGCCGCCGGCAGCAGGGCCGGGCCUCGCCCUGCCUGCAGUGCCGGCACGACCCCUACCGCCUUCUCCGCUACGACCUGCACGGGCCCUUCCAGAAGGUUCCGGCGCUGAUGGUGAAGAAGUUCUCGGUGGUGCAGGGCAUGGUCCUGAUGUUCGCGGGGGGCAGGCUGCUGUUCGGGGGCUGCGUCCUCAACGGCUACGGCUUCAGCAAGCAGAACCUGCUGAAACAGAUCUCCCGGGCCCGGCAGGACUGCGAGAAUGGCUACUUCCUGCCCGAGGACUACAAGUUCAACGCGCCCAGCCCGGUCUCCAUGGUGGAGGACGGCGUGGGCCCCACCGGCUCCGAGGACACCCAGGCCAGCUACUCGUCCUUGGCGCUGGGGGACAAGGCCGAGAGGGAGGCCGCCGUUGAGGCCGCGGCCUCCAUGGAGAAAAAGUAGGUGGCCCCUCCCCCGGGGGGUCGGGGGUGACAACCCGCAAAGGGAGGUGGGGGGC